rnacentral:rRNA from 1 species
GACGAACGCUGGCGGCGUGCUUAACACAUGCAAGUCGAACGGUGAAGGGACCGGUUUUUGCUGGUUCUGGAUGAGUGGCGAACGGGUGAGUAACACGUGAGUAACCUGCCCCCUUCUUCUGGAUAACCGCAUGAAAGUGUGGCUAAUACGGGAUAUUCUGCGCCUGCUGCAUGGUGGGUGUGGGAAAGAUAUUGUUUCGGUGGGGGAUGGGCUCGCGGCCUGUCAGCUUGUUGGUGGGGUGAUGGCCUACCAAGGCGGUGACGGGUAGCCGGCCUGAGAGGGUGGACGGUCACACUGGGACUGAGACACGGCCCAGACUCCUACGGGAGGCAGCAGUGGGGAAUAUUGCACAAUGGGCGCAAGCCUGAUGCAGCGACGCCGCGUGAGGGAUGGAGGCCUUCGGGUUGUAAACCUCUUUCGCCAGUGAAGCAGGCCUGUCCCUUUUGUGGGUGGGUUGACGGUAGCUGGAUAAGAAGCGCCGGCUAACUACGUG